UGUCAGAAGGAGGUUCAUUUGCUUUUGGACUGUGACUGAUGGUGGGUAACUGAAACCACAGAAAGCAAAACCCUGUGAAAGAGAGACUACUGUAGAUACAUAUGUGUACACACAUAUAUACACAUAUAAAGUACCUACAUAUGAAGAAAAUAUGAGGGAGAGCAACCACAAGCAGGGUGAGCAGCAGAGGGAGAGGGAGAAGCAGUUCCCCACUGAGCAGCGCGCCCGACAUGGGGCUCCAUUCCAGGACUCUGGGAUCAUGACCUGAGUGGAAGGCAGAUGCUUAAACGACUGAACCACCCAGAUACCCCUCACAUGAGUUUUAGAUCAAACAUAGAUAAGCAAACUUGGGCAAGUUACUUAAUCUCUUGAAACUCCAUUUUCUUAAGGUCAGGUGAAAAUAUUUCAAAGAACUGUGAUGAAAUUUAAAUGAUACAAGGAAUGUAAAGUUUCUAUCAUUCAAUAAAUACUAGAUAUUAUUGUUAACAUUA